rnacentral:lncRNA from 1 species
UCUACCUAGACCCAACCCUAAUCCCCAUUUCUCUUAGAUAGCUGGCCCCAAACUCCCUUUCUUCUCUCAAGCGCUCCCUAGCCUAUCAAAACCCUAAUCGCCUCCCUCAUCCUCUCCGACCAAUCUCACCGGAGUCCAUGGCUUCUCAGGACAUGGACACCCUAUACUCACCUUCCUUCACUCCUAAAUUAUGGGUGUUCAAGAUUUUGAGGUAUGACCUCUAUGGCGUACCUUUAGAUCCUCUUCAGAUCUGUGUUCCUAUGGUCUUUCCAGCUCUGCUCCAGCGUAUUCGAGCUCUAGGAGCCUAGCUAUGGCCGUCUCUAACUCGAGACCAGACUUCCUUCCAAGUCUUUUCAUUUCUAGGGCUUCAGAGAAACACUAAAACUAGUCGAGAUUCCUUCCUCAUUUAUUUACCUAGAUGUGUGAUGAAUAUGUGCUAUAUUCAACGUUUUAAAGCUUUUCCCCAAUUUUCCUUUCAAAAUUAGUCUGUUAUAAUUUAGGAUUUUGGACAAAUCUUAAAACAACUUCUGACUCUUCUUCUUCUUCUUUUCUUUGUGUGAAUCUGUCUAUGUCAUGUUCAUAUGUUCUUUCCUCGCAUGUCUGCUCCUGUGUUCUUAUGUUUUUCCAUGUUAUGCAUAUUCUUCCCUCUAGUGGGCUCUAUAAGCAUACUUUACAUGUCUAUCUCGUAUGUUUCUAUACUGUAUUUUUACUAAGCUUUUAAUCAUUGUUUUCCUUUACUGGACCUUUGUUCGAACUCUAAACGUGCUCAUCUACUGUUUCCUAAGUAAUACAUGACCUCUUUUCUCUUCUAAAACUUGCUUAAAUUCCGAAUUUUCGUUAAAGCAUGUUCUUUAUGUUCUUUCACUAUACUACCUCAAACUUGCUAUUGUGUCUGUGUGUUUUCUCGUGAGGCUCUGAAAGAGAUCUCUGAGUCUAUUUCAAUGGCUUUCCUUCUCCUCUUUGUAUCAUACUCGAAUUAGAAACCCUAGGGUUUGGGGUUUUGGCGAGUUCUGAUCUUGUGUUAUGAGUUUAUGUAAUGGACUCGACCUCUUGGUUAUGACUCUGAAUCAUUUCUAUACGAUGUUCUCUUGUUUGUGAGUGUCUAUAUGUUUUUUAUAUGACAAAGUCUCUUCUAUCAAAAGGCCUUUGGCCAGCCUGUGAUUGAUUCCAAGUUCCUUUUCAAAAGGUUUGAUCAAGUGUUGUUUAUUUUCUUUAAAUUAAGCUCCUAUUCACCUUUCCUGGUUGGAUUCAUUCGCACUAAGACUCAAAUCCUGAUUUUACUGGGUGUUGAUUGAUUGUCUUUCCUUGUUCCGCCCAAAUCGCGUACCGAUAAACAAUUUACUUAAAUAAACUUAUGUGUAUUUGCCCCUGUUAUACUGCCUUAGAAAAGAUUUUAAAUCAAAUCAUUUCCUUAGUUUUUUUGCUCGUUUGAAUCAAAACCCUUAACCAAAGGAAAACGGCUUGUUAUUGAUUUCGAAACUGUCCUCUCACCUUUUUCAUACUUGUCUUUUGCACUAUAAAAGAGGGAUACCCUUUCACGGGUUUGGACACGCUCAAAAUAUUGAAUUUUUGACAAUUAAAUUAUACUCUCUUCUUCCCUAUGCUUCUCUUCGGUGGUUUCUGAAACAACUUUGAGUUUUCUUUGUGCCUUUCAAGUGUUCUGCUGAGAACUUAAGUCUGCUCCUACUGUAUCUAUUUGCUGUGAUUGCUCUGUUGUUCUGCUUGUUCUUACUUUGUAACUGGUAUGUUAUUGUUAGUUAAAUAAUUCUCCUCAACUAUGUGCUUACAUCCUAGUUCUGUUAUGUUCUUCUUUACUAUGUUUCUGCAACUCUGUUGUGCUUUGCUUAUGUGAAAUCCCUUUCCCUUUUCCCCUUUAUAUGUGAGUAUGGUUCCAGCCGUAGCAGCAGAUUAACAUUGUUGUCUAUGACUCUGAACUGGGUUCUUUGAACCCCUUACUCAAUCAAUUCUCACUCCGUUCUUCUCUUUAUGUGUUUGAGCCCUGACUUGAGACUGGUGGUGUCCUAAUCAUCAUCAAGGCUUAGGUCUGACCUUCAAAUGUCAGCUCCUAUCUUGUUUGACCAAACAUUUUCCAGCCUGCACUUGUGGCUGGGCAUGACCACCAUUUGUUAUGGUUCCUCGAGCACUUUGAACUUAUUCCUAGUUCUAAGUUUUGCCCUCUCUUGCAAGCCAUGCCUUGGGAUCCUUGAGCUCCCUCUUAACUUGGAUGUCUGAGGGAUGACUAUUACACACUGCACUAUUCUAAUUCUAAAUGGUAUCCUGAGUGCAAGGAAUGCCGGGAAUCCUUGAGAUUCCUUGGAACUUUGAAAGACUUUGGAUAAAGAGAAGACUUUGGAAAUCUGGAUUCCGGAAUUGGUUGAUC